AGGGAACCUUCCACAAUGGACGAAAGUCUGAUGGAGCAACGCCGCGUGAGUGAUGAAGGGUUUCGGCUCGUAAAACUCUGUUGUUGGAGAAGAACGGGUGUCAGAGUAACUGUUGACAUCGUGACGGUAUCCAACCAGAAAGCCACGGCUAACUACGUGCCAGCAGCCGCGGUAAUACGUAGGUGGCAAGCGUUGUCCGGAUUUAUUGGGCGUAAAGCGAGCGCAGGCGGUUUUUUAGGUCUGAUGUGAAAGCCUUCGGCUUAACCGGAGAAGUGCAUCGGAAACCGGGAGACUUGAGUGCAGAAGAGGACAGUGGAACUCCAUGUGUAGCGGUGAAAUGCGUAGAUAUAUGGAAGAACACCAGUGGCGAAGGCGGCUGUCUGGUCUGCAACUGACGCUGAGGCUCGAAAGCAUGGGUAGCGAACAGGAUUAGAUACCCUGGUAGUCCAUGCCGUAAACGAUGAGUGCUAAGUGUUGGAGGGUUUCCGCCCUUCAGUGCUGCAGCUAACGCAUUAAGCACUCCGCC
rnacentral:rRNA from 1 species